AGUUACAAUAAUUAUACUGUUGUUGUUGUUGUUGUUGUUGUUGUUGUUGUAACAGUAAGAUAAUAGUCAUUAUUAAUUAUAUAAAUUAAAAUGAUAAUCAUUGGCUUCAGUUUGUUUAGCAUUUUUAUUUGAUUGUAAAACUAUUUUUGACUUACAGAAUACAAUAAUUUCAAUGGGGAAAAAUAAUAAAUUCAGUAAAUUAAAUGAUUGUGUGUAUUGAUUAUUAUGCUUACUGCAGAUGUUAAAACAAUUUUCAACUUUAGUUUAUUGCUUGGCUCCAGAAUUGACUUGGUUAGUGAGGAUCUUAAGAAGCUACUUCCUUCACUGCUAAAUGAGACAGCUGACAGGAUGAUCAGUGAGUACAACUUAUGGGGUACAUUACAAAAAUUAAUCUUGAAAUGCAAUGAAAAAGUUGCCAUAAUUUUGGCAAUUUUAUAAUAUAUUCUUCAUUAACAGAAUGUUAUAAUUGUUAGUCUUUUAGAAAGAGGGAUAUUUUUGUUCUCUGUAAAAGGCUGUUUUAUAUUGAAAUGAAUGAAAUAUUGAAUUAAUUCGAUUAAUUCUCAAGAAAGUUAAUUAAUAGAUGAAAAUUAAUAGACAUACAGACUGACUUUUUUUUUUUUUUUUUAUUUUAUAAUUCCAAGAUAUG
rnacentral:lncRNA from 1 species